UACGUAGGGUGCAAGCGUUGUCCGGAAUUAUUGGGCGUAAAGGGCGCGUAGGCGGCUUGGCAAGUGGAUGGUGAAAUCCCUCGGCUUAACCGAGGAACUGCCAUCCAGACUGCUUUGCUUGAGGCCGGGAGAGGUGAGUGGAAUUCCCAGUGUAGCGGUGAAAUGCGUAGAUAUUGGGAGGAACACCAGUGGCGAAGGCGGCUCACUGGACCGGUUCUGACGCUGAGGCGCGAAAGCGUGGGGAGCAAACGGG
rnacentral:rRNA from 1 species